UCAAACUUUAGUUGCCUUUAGACAGUGUAGGAAUUUCUGGCAUAACAGUCAUUUAAAGUUGAUGUUUCGAUUCUAUAAAUUGUAUUCACUAUAUUUGAGUAAAAUGGCUAAAAUAAUGGAAGGAGGAGAAGAAAACCCAGCCAUGGAAUGGUGUCUGUGCGAGAAGCUGCCCCGGGCCUUGCUGCAUAUACCACUGACCAAGGAUAUGCGCUGUGAGGUAUGUGGUCUAGUGCGAAGAGCCCGUCGUAUAUUCAGUUCGUCCAGUUCGAGCGAUGAGGAGGCAUUCGAGCAGCGUCAGAAGAUGCUUUUGGAGCGUCGAAGGGCUGAGGAGGCGUGCAGUGGUCAGACACGAGUCAAGGUGGCCAUGAAGGCCAAAAAGCCGCCGUCGCAUGCUAAAGCAGACUGCAAUAAAUGCGGAGGCCUACAAAAGUCGCAUGGUAAGGUCUAUGCUGGACGCUUUGGUCACUAUCCGAGACCCAAGCGUUUGGUAAAGCGUGACGAGAAAACUGUUCAUUCCAAAUUGAACACUGCGCCGCCACCAUCUACGCCAACCUCGUCGCCACCAUUGCAGACGUUGCCGGAGACGAUAUCGGAGUCCCCCAAAGACGAGGAUAUGCCCAAUCUAGUUGCUUUGGCCCAUGAAGUGUUCAAGCGGCCAGCUCAUCAACGCAGUCACUGGCCCAGCUAUUAUGGUAAUUUGUUUGUCAGCGAUUUUAUACCCCUGGACAGUCCCAUAACAGAUCCUUCGGGGGGUGCCAUCUCAAAGCGACCAGCUGUAGCUGGCCAACCUUUGCGUACACAUCGCAGUCGACCGUUACCGCCCUUGGCCAAGGUGUUAUCCGAUAUUGCCACGCAGCAGAAGAAGCCUAGGCAACGGGCCAAGGGUGGUGGACUGGAGCCAGAAAAAGAUCGGAAUUCAAGUCAUGCCAGUCAGUUUACCCCCUACGAUGUUUAUGAAGGCCCCUCCGAGGAUUCCUUGAUUGUGAAUAGUGCCAGUUAUCUGAUGCAUCAGCGGGAGCUAAGUAACAGGUCUCUUUUAAGUCUACCCUCCGCUCUUCCACUGUCCACAUUGGCCGAUGCGCAACAUUCCGGUGCCGCCUUAUUCCCACCUUCGGCCCCAUCUUUGGUUGAGCAAAUUGUCCAAUCCACUCAAAAUUCUCAUUAUUUAAGUAGCAGACAAAUCUGCAUCCAACUGGAUACAGAAGUCCGUAAGGCGGCCUCUGAGACUGCCCUCUUGGAUAACAGCAGCUCCAGUAGUUCCAGUAGCAGUGAGAGUUCAGUUCAUUUGGCUCCUCAGCUAACAACAUUUGCUUCCUACCAUAAAAAACAAAAUGAUCUGGCAAUGAAACGAAAACAUUUUCUAGCCGAGGAGCAAUCCCACGAAGAAGCGGAAACAACGCCACCAGCCGUUGUCUCCAUAAUGGAUGAGAUUUUCUGGACACCCAUUGAGAAGAGCAUAUUGACCGAACAUGAUGAGAUAACUGCGAAUAGCCCAAAUAAUGAAGCUGAAAAUAGCGCAAGAGGACAAAAUUGCAAACUGAAUGACUACGGACUGGGGGAGUCCAGAGUGGCAGGUAGCCAUUCCACCACGUAUUUUACAGCAAAAGAGUGCAAUAAAAUCGAAAAAUGUCAGAAAUGUGGGCGACCAUCUAAAGAUAAAUCAACUGGGGAUCAAAUUGGGAAACAAGAAAAAUCUGCUAUCAACUUGGAGGAAACCAAUCAAAUUUCUCAAAUUAAGCAAAGUAAAAUUCCACAAUUUCAAAAUAUUUGUGGAAAAUGUCACAGACCAAAUAGUCAAAGAAGAAAUCAAUCGGUUAUAACAAUACACAGAACUGGAUGCAAGUUUGAUUCGUCUUCGAGUUCGGAUAUUAGUAAUUUAAACAAAAAAUCAUUAAUACCAAUCAUAUCAAAAGUUAACACAUUUAAGAACAACAAGACAAUGAUACCAAAGCUCACACACUCUAAAAUCCGCUUGAAUGAUCCCAAAAGCAAAUUGUUGAAACCUACAAACCAAACGCCUGUUAACCCUAGCUUACAUCUAAUCCACGAAACAUCGAGGCAUUAUCUUAUAAAUUCCUUUCAUAUCGUCCAACAUUGUUGUACAGAGAAGAUUUUACCCAAAAUGUUGGCCUGUUUCAGAGAUAUUAUAGAUACAGCGUGUCUAGUUUCGUACAAACUAGUCGAAAUUGAAGAACCUCAAAUACCAUUGCUGGGCAUAUAUGAAUUUCGUACUCCCGACACUGAUUCAAAUUCGUCUUCGAUAUGUCUAACACCUAUAUCCCAUUUGCCAACACCAAAGGAGAACCAAGUAGGCGAAGGCAAAAAAUUACUACCCGUUUGGCCAGCUCAUCCCUUCAAGUACAGAAAACGUAAAAUUAAGUAUCGUGAAAUGGAAUCAAUAAAUCAAAAGAACAAUCAAAAUGAAAUCAUUGAACAAAACCAUAAUUCGAGUGAAUGCAAAACCCAACACAAAGAGAAGCCUAAACAAGAUAACCAAAACGAUGAAGACAUCCUAAUCGACCAAAAACUAAAAGAAAUGAUGACAAAACCCUUAAAAUUAAUAAUAUCAUCUGAUGACAGCAUAGCGAAACCUUGCACAGACGCGUUAGAUCAACCCAAUGCGAGUGAGGAAAGUGGCAAAGAGCAAAAAACUUCAUCAGGAAAACCAUUACAACUUCUAACCCAAUUAGAUGCAGUUCACGAAUCAGAUAUGGAAUAUUUUACCAGACAUUAAACAAUACAUUGAAUACAAUAUCUACAUAAAAAGAAGCCUUAUUGGACCUAAUACACAACACCACACUAAAGCACUUCAAAGGGACCCAACUUAACGAGACAAUCCUUAGGGGCAAAAUAUUCUUAACAAUCAUUAGCAAAACCUUUUCAAGAUCUUCGUAAAUCACAAAAAAAAUAUACCUUUGGACAACAAGUGGAUAUUACUUCGAGUUUCAAAUGAUGUGCCUGCCAGCUAAACCAUCGCCCUUACGUAUACGUUAUCGCAAACCCCCCCCCGCAGCUUUUCUCUCAAGUAUUGCAAGCAUAACGUAUUGGUUUCUAUAUAUUACCGCAUAUAUCAUCAUUUAUUUGGCUGGAUUGAUCAUUAUAGCGGGUCUAAUCUGUCCACGAUAUGCAUGGCAAGUGCUCAAUCAUAUGCUCGAUCAAUAUCACAUUGAGAAACAAUUCAAAGACGAAUUAUGAGUUGUAUAUUUUUUAAUAAAAAAUGUUUGCUCUUUUUUUGAUUAAGAA